rnacentral:lncRNA from 10 species
GGGAACUCCCUGACCCCUUGCGCUUUCUGAGUGAGGCAGUGCCUCGCCCUGCUUCGGCUCGCACACGGUGCGCGCACCCACUGACCUGCGCCCACUGUCUGGCACUCCCUAGUGAGAUGAACCCGGUACCUCAGAUGGAAAUGCAGAAAUCACCCGUCUUCUGCGUCGCUCACGGUGGGAGCUGUAGACUGGAGCUGUUCCUAUUCGGCCAUCUUGGCUCCUCCGCAUUUGUUUUUAUGGUGGUUUUGUAUUGUUUUUAUAGAGCUGCCCUCACAUGCUUCAGCAACAUUAGAUGUUCUGGAGACUGGAAAGUCCAAGAUCAUGGUGCCUGAGGAUUCAGUGUCUGGUGGACCCUAUUUAAUGUGGGAGAGGAAUACAUAAAAAGGUGGAUAUCAUGAGGUGAAAAUCAUUGGAGACCAUCUUGGAAGCUGUCUAACGCAACAAGAAUUAUUUUAUUUAUGAUUUAUUUGAAGUCUUUUUUUAUUUAUAAUCUGUUUUACUUGGAAUGAUUGGUUAUCAGACUCAGCACGUUUUCAAAUCUGUAUAACAGAUGCUAUCUUGUUUGUCAUUAGGUAAGUUCACCUGAAACCCUCAGGCAAGCCUUUCAGAACUAAUGCCUGUUGUAAUUCCCUUAUUUCUUAUGUGAUUUAAAUUGUGAAAAGCCCAUAUUUCUUUUGAAAAAUCAUUGCUUGUCUUUUGUCUCUGAUGUUAGCAUGUUUUCAGGCAAUGUUUUUGAAGUUAAAUAUAUUUGUUGUUUAGAGAUGACUUUUCUCUGCCCUUUUAUUUUACAUACAAGGGUACUAGUAUCCAGAGAGGUCAAGUGGCUAAGGAUGCAAAAUUUGUAAUAAAAUUUAGGUUUUCUGAAUCUUAA